UAUUUGUUUAAUUUUAUUUAAGAAUUUUACAAAAACAGAAACGAAAUCCAAACAAAAAUGAAAAAAAAAAAACAAACCAAAAACAAAAACAAAACCACAAAACCACAACAAAAACCUAAAUACAGAGAGUACUUUCCGUGUGAGGAUCAAGCAUUUUCUACUUGAGGACAAAUGAGCUCUGCUCAGUGAGGCGGACACACUUGUAUUGCAUGAGACUGAAUUCGAAAGUUACAUAUCAAAAUGAUGGUAGCACUGAGUUCUGGACACUGGGGAGCAGGUUCCCAGGAGAGGCUGAAGGCAGCAACGUGGCAGGCGGCGUGGAAAAAGCAUGUACUUUUCCUCCGGAUGGAUAGUCCUAUGCAGCGCAGCAGUACGAAAGGAAACGGACGAAGACAGAGGCCACCCGAGAGUCUACAUCUGACGUCAUUUGGAAAGGUCUCUGGACUCCUGCAGAUGUCUCCAGAUGCACCAUGUCAGGUCGGGAAGGAAGCCCAGCGCCUUUAUGUAAAAUACCCUUUGCACAAGGAGGUAGAACCUGGCACAAGUUUUAUUGCAGAGACACAGGGCACCUCUUCCACCCCUCACGGUCGAUGAUGAAAGUGGUUAUUGAAAGAAGUUAAGAGUAGUUUGCAAAUUCAGUAGAAACUAUGAACUGGGUGACUUGUUUAGUGGUGAGGCUGUAUUGUGCUAUGUUUAAAACAAAAAGAAAAAAAAAAAAGAAAGGAAGAAAAAGGCCCCCGGGUCCCACAGAGUAGACCCAGGAAUGGCUCAAGCCUCUUUACCCUCUUCAGUGCCAGUCACUGCAAGAACAGCAACCGCCUUCAAGACGCCUGAGUGGGGUCUGGGUUAGAGGCCAGAAUCAGAAAGGCCGCACUAACUCGCCCCAGGAGACUGGCAUGCUGACUCAGCCCUGAGGAAGCCUCCAGCGCAAAAGGCGGCCUCCGUUCCUUCUCCUGUUGCUCUGCACUAAAUGGGUGUACAUCAUACUUAACUGUCUGCUGUAGGUUUCCUGGACUAACUGUGCCCUAUCACAUCCCCAUAGACAGCUGGCUAAUGUUGCAGGCCACAGGUCAAUCUCAGAGACCAGAGGGAGGGAGCUGGGGUCAGGAGGGAAUUUCUGCUGGAGCAAUCUAUCUGUGACAGAUCCUCAUUCGUGACAACUAACGUCCAAAGACUUAGCCAAAUGUAGACAAUUUGCAACCUGUCAUCAAGUUGAAUGUUCACUGAAAUCUUUCCUGAGAAUUGCAGAGGACAUUUUUUGAGGGUGCAAAAUCCUGCAAAUAAACCUCACUGCUCUGCCCUGGGUGAAGAUCAGCACCAUCUCCACUGCCUUGUUGGCCUUUAGCACCAACGCCAAUUCCGCAGAGCUCAGCACGUCUGCUUCUAGUCUGCCCAGCCAGAAAUGAGUCCCCAACACUGAACCUGCCUUUCGUGCUUGUUGUAGCUCCCACAGUAGGACUACUGUCAUCCCUUGGAUGAUGACUGUUCUCUAAGGUCUCCUGUCAUGUACUACAAGCUCAUCUCCUGCCUUCCUAUAAAUAUUUUUGACCAACAGUAUAAUGAACAGAUUAUCCAUGCUGGUUGUAAAAUAAGUCUCUGAUUGCCACCUGUGGGGUCAAAGGGUCAAAGAAAUCCAAGGUCUCAUACACACCAUAGAAUGGCGUGCAGCCAGGCUCUGAGCUACUGUCUAACUGCAAGGUUUUCCCAUCGGGCAAACAGCAGGAGCGGGAGGACUGGAGCAGGCAGGUCUCAACUGGAGCAACAAUGAGUCAGGCUUCUGAGGAGCUGCAUCUGGCUGACUGAAGACGAUAGAGGUGCUUAAGGGGAGUCCAGGAAGCAUUUCCUUUCCUUUCCUUUCCUUUUUCAAAUAUGAAAGGAUGAAGCUCACUAUAGCUUCCAGAGAACGAAAAAAGAGCAUAACCAGUCACCUGGUAACAGGAUGAGGGGUGGUGCGCAGAUGCAUCCCAAGAUGUGGGUAACAAGAACCCCAGAGCCACGAGGCAAAGACGAACUCUUAAACACAAAAGUACUGACUCUGCUAAGAAGUAUUCCACAGUUUCCUAAGUUUAAAAAAAAAAAAAAA
ensembl:lncRNA